rnacentral:rRNA from 1 species
AGUCGAGCGGUAGCACGGAGAAACUUGUUUCUUGGGUGACGAGCGGCGGACGGGUGAGUAACGCGUAGGAAUCUACCUAGUAGAGGGGGACAACAUGUGGAAACGCAUGCUAAUACCGCAUACGCCCUAAGGGGGAAAGGAGGGGACUUUUCGGAGCCUUCCGCUAUUAGAUGAGCCUGCGUGAGAUUAGCUAGUUGGUAGGGUAAAGGCCUACCAAGGCGACGAUCUCUAACUGGUCUGAGAGGAUGACCAGUCACACUGGGACUGAGACACGGCCCAGACUCCUACGGGAGGCAGCAGUGGGGAAUAUUGGACAAUGGGCGCAAGCCUGAUCCAGCCAUGCCGCGUGUGUGAAGAAGGCCUUAGGGUAGUAAAGCACUUUCAGGGGUGAGGAAGGGUGAUUGGUUAAUACCCAAUUAUCUUGACGUUAGCCCCAGAAGAAGCACCGGCUAACUCUGUGCCAGCAGCCGCGGUAAUACAGAGGGUGCAAGCGUUAAUCGGAAUUACUGGGCGUAAAGCGCGCGUAGGUGGUUUGUUAAGUCGGAUGUGAAAUCCCAGGGCUCAACCUUGGAAUGGCACCCGAUACUGGCAGGCUAGAGUAUGGUAGAGGGGUGUGGAAUUUCCUGUGUAGCGGUGAAAUGCGUAGAUAUAGGAAGGAACAUCAGUGGCGAACGCGACACCCUGGACUAAUACUGACACUGAGUGCGAAAGCGUGGGGAGCAAACAGGAUUA